rnacentral:lncRNA from 1 species
CUAACACAUAUUUCCUCAGCUGCUCUUUGAAGAUGGAAUUCAUCAGGGACUGAAAAGGGGCCGGUGCAUUCGUCAACCCAAAGGGCAUGAUUAGAAAUUCGUAAUGUCCUUCAUGGGUCCUAAAAGCGAUUUUCGGAACAUCCUCUUCUCUUACUCGAAUUUGGUGAUAUCCUGACUUAAGGUCAAUUUUUGAGAAUAUUGAAGACCCAUUCAACUCGUCACGUAACUCAUCAAUAACUGCAAUGGGAAACUUGUUAGGGACUGUGACCUUGUUUGAUGCUCGAUAAUCCAUGCAAAAUCUCCAGCUCCUAUCAUUCUUUCAAACCAAAAGCACAGGGCUUCAAAAAGGACUUGUGCUUCGCUGUAUAAUUCCUGCAGCUAUAAUUUCUCUUACCAACUACUCGAUUUCAUUCUUUUGGAAGUGUGGGUACCUGUAAGGCCUCACACUUACUGGUGCAGUACCCGACUUCAAAAUGAUCGCGUGAUCCUGAUCUCGUUUGGGAGGGAGCUGAGUACUGUCUUUGAAGACUGCUUGGAACUCCUCGAGAACUUCUGCAAUCAUUGUCGGCGGCUGCAGUGGAGAACAUUUAGGGCUAAUAGUGAUGGAUCCCAAUUCUAAUAAGAGCCCCUCCCCUUGUUCUUUAAAGGCCUUCUACAUUGUCUUCAACAAAACAGGAGUGUUAUUGAGGCUGGGAUCUCCUUGCAGCGUCUACCUUCGCUCCUGCCACAUUGAACGUCAUUGUUAAAGUGUUCCAAUCCACCUGCGUCUUUCCUAACUUUUGUAGCCAUUACAUUCCUAGGAUGACAUCCGAGCUUCCCAACUCCAGAGGUAAGAAGUCCUCUUCCACCAAGAGCCUCGGCCGUUUCAGCGUCUCUCGACGACAUAUGCCCCCCCCCCCCUUCACAGUUAAACGAGUACCCAUUAUCACCCCGUAAUUGGUUGUACUGGAGAAGGGUAACCCAAGUUGUUGAACCAUCUCUGCCGAAAUAAAAUUGUGCGAUGCACCACUACCCAAAAGUACCACUACUUUCUUCUGACCAAGCGCUCCCUUUACCUUCAUAGUACCAGGAGCAGAGAGGCUGACUACUGAGUUAAUCGACUGCUCCACCGAUUGACCUAGACCGUAUUGCCUUCUCCGACGUCAUGCAGCUCGUUGUCGACCUCAAUUCCACAAGCGCCAAGCUCGUCGGGGCGUUCUGCUUCCACCAAACAUCGCUAUCCUCAACUUCUGCAAACUUUCCCUUUUGGCUUGAAUUUCAUAAUUGCUGAGGUGUUUGAAUGUUGAGAAAUUUUUGGGAAAGGAAUUGGGACGAUGAGGAAAUGAGGCUUAUUGGGACCGUAGCACGAUUUGGGUUAAAAUAGUUUUAGGGUGGAUUGGGGCUGUGAUAUGGGAUACUUUUGGGUUUAGUUGGGCUUGAGCUUUGUUGGGUAAUCAAAUUUCGGUCCUCAACCAUUUGGGCUGUCUCCAUAAUUUGCUCUAAGCCCAUGGGUCUCAGUAAUUGGACCUUUGCCUUGAUACUUGGCUUGAGUCCAUUGAGGAAACUACACUCCAUCACUUCCUCAGAGAUCUCUGUCAACGGCGAAGCAAGAGUCUCAAACCGGCGACGGAAUUCCCUUACUAUGGAGUCCUGCCGGAGAGAUAGGAACUGGGCACACAAUGAUCCUUCCUGUGAGGGCACAGGACCUGAAUCGCCUUAGAAGCCGCACCUUCACAUCCUCCCAAGUUUUCAUAGGUCUGCGUUUUUCUUCCCAAUGGAACCAGACUAGUGCCUCACCAUCGAAACAUACGACGGCCGCUUCCACCUUCUCUUCCUCCGACGAACGAUUUAUGCUAAAGUACCUCUCCACCCUAAAUACCCAGCCAUCCGGAUCGAUUCCUUCAAACACGGGCAUAUCCAGUCGCCGUAUGUGGUUUUUCCCUCUCCAUUCUCCCACCGUUUCUCCUCCACGGGAUUGGCUAGCACUUGGUCGGAGUUGUGAUGCAACACCAAUAGGAAAAUUAAUAGAGAAAGGGAAUCAAUAAACCGGGAAAAAGAAAUAAGGGGAAGGGAUGGUAGAAGAAAAAUAAGGGGAAGGAGAAUAAUGGGGAAGAGUGGAAUUUCGUCGCAAGUCACCACGUAUCUUUAUUCAAUAAUCAAUUGUAAUGGCGAAAAAGAUUUAAAUAAAUAAAGGGAAAAAUUCAUAAACCAUGUAUUAACUAUGCAC